rnacentral:rRNA from 1 species
UACGGAGGAUCCAAGCGUUAUCCGGAUUCAUUGGGUUUAAAGGGUGCGUAGGCGGAAUGAUAAGUCAGUGGUGAAUCCUGCAGCUUAACUGCAGAACUGCCAUUGAUACUGUCAAUCUUGAGUACAUUUGGAUGUGGGCGGAAUGGUGUCAUGUAGCGGUGAAUGCUUAGAUAUGACACAGAACACCGAUUGCGAAGGCAGCUUACUAUGGUGUCAUUGACGCUGAGGCACGAAAGCGUGGGGAGUCAAACAGG